UCUCAAAACCCGACGCUUCUUCGAGGCCACUUUCUUUUCAGUAUUUGAUCUUAAAAUGAUUUUUUAUCCAAAUUGUAACAAAGACUAACACUAAACAAGGCCGAGGACGACUAUGCCGCCAAUGAAAAGCACACACUAGCUAUCAUGUGGUUAUUAAAUUCGCUGAGAAAUUACCUAUACGAAUCAGCUAAAGUCAAAAUUUUUACGGAACACCAGCCAUUAACCUGCGCAUUCAGCAACAAGAAACACAACGAACCUCCCAAACAAUCUUCAUUAAAUACAUCACCAAUAGCGAUCAAUUUUGACGGAAAAACUCAUCUAAAUUGUAAGGAAACAAGGCACAAAUCUUCUCUAUGAAAAGCACACAAACAAAAGUUAUCAAAAGUUGUAUACUUUGCAAAAUUAACAAUUAUUGUCGUUACGCUGGAAAGUAUCAAGACAAAAGUCCCACCCCCAUCCUACAGUAUCUAGGUAAGGCGGUCUACCUAAACAUACUUUUAUUUUAAAAGAUUUAAUUUUAACUGCUAUAUACAAUUUCUGAAAAUAUUUCAUGGCAUAACUAAUUCUGUCCAGAGCAUCGGAACGUGCAAAACAACCCUUGAGGGAUAUCCUUCAUUCUCUCGUACCUAAAACCAUAGUGACAGACAAAUAGAAAUCCUUUAAUUCAGACUCCGUAAACUUCAUGAUGAACAAUGAACGUGGGUUUUCUAUUUUUAGAACAUCAUCGUACACCAGUUGUUCAACUGCGCAAGUGGAGCGAUUUGACCCCACUACAUUAGAAGAAAACCUUCAAAAUGAACGCACCCACCGAUCGUUCCGACAAUUAUUAGGAAGGUCGGUAAAAGGAUAUUAUUUGUCUCUUCAUGGGGUGUGGCUAAAAAGUCCGUAGAAACAUUUUUCCUGGGACAUGGAAGCAGAGAUCCCAAAUUAAAGAAAAAAAUUAAAAAGAAACUAUCAAGAAGCUUUCAGAGGAGCUAAUUCCAUGUAUCAAAAUGCGAAUCGAUCGCCAACCAAUGAAUAUUCAGAGGGAGAAGAAAUUUUCGUGAAAAUAUACAAGAGAAAAUAUAUAAGAAAGAAGUAGUGGUACGAAACUAUAACACCACAAUAAGAUCGCAAUCAAGCACUUUAGUUCAUAAAAACAACAGAAGACAAUUUUAGGGAACAUACCUUAAUCAAAAACUUCUUGUUGCACUUACUGAAUGUGCAGCUCCCAAUGUCAGUUCUAAAAUGAGCACUGAUAUCGAAGUCAAAUAUUUGAUAUACAAAACCUAACUAACAACAAUGGAUAUAUAUCCAACAAGAUAAGAUAAUUGAAAACAAUUACCUAUUAUGACAAGGUCCUACACUUUAUCAAUCUAACAUUUUAUGAUGAUGACAAUGCUUUCACUAUUUAACAAUAUAAAUACAUUACAAACAACUUUUGCACUCGAUCAAUAAGAAUUUUAUUUGAAAUACAUUGCGGGAACUAUGGACACCGAUGGCAAACUGGAAAUCUACAGCUACAUAAAUGCACUUAAAGAAGUGGGACUAUAUAGAAUAAAAAACCUAGAGAGCGAAGGCAAAUUUAUUGACCAAUCAUAUAGAGUUAGCAAUGAUAUAUCAAUUUUACGGGACCAUAUAUGACUUUGGCUAAAUUAUAUUUGUAAAUUGCGUAUAAUUCCGACCGACAUUCUAACGCAAACAGAACUUUAUUGCUGACUUUGGUAGUUACAGCAGCAUGAAAAUCGCGGUAAUUUUUGAAAAUAAGAAUAUUAUCCAAACUUUACUCAUACCUCAAUUCUCCACCCACAUUCUAUCCAAUACAAAAUUUGAACCUCUUCGUGACGCCCUAAAUAAACCAUUAAUUUUAAACCAAUAU